UAGACGAACUAAACAACACCAAUAGUCUUGCAAUUUCUUCUAUCUGUUCUCAAAUUAUGCAUUUGUGAAGAAACAUUUCCCUUUAAUAUAUAAAGAUAAUUAUAUUAUAUUUUUUUUUUUUUUUUUUUUUUUUUUUUUCUUUCCCUCUAAGCGUAGUUCCUAAUUAUGCCUUGACCACUCUUUAUUGCCGUUUGUGUUUCAACCGUGAAAAUUAAUUUUGGACUUUUAUUUUUUUCAUUACUGGCUCAAUGUGCCAUUUGUUUGACGGUCAAGGUCUCGCGUAGCUACUAAGCUUUGCAAUUAUUGACGUAGGUCAUGAUGAAGCUUUAGUUUUCUUCUUCCCACUUUUGUUCGCAAUAAUCGCAUACUCAUAUGCGUUCCGCGAUUAUUGCUGUAUCGGAGACGUGAUUAAUCCUAUACAAUUGGCGAUGCCUGUCAUCAGUGGAUUAAUAUUUGUGUCAUCAUCUAUCUUGUCAUCUUGUCACUUGUCAUCUUUUGUGAUAUUUAGCUGUAAAAGUUAAAUUCAUGUAAUGAUGUGAAAUAACAAAAAUUUGAUCAUGUAUUAGUAAACUAAAAGAGAGAGAGAAAAAAAAAAAAACGUUCCUGUUUCGAACCUUAGAUCCUCUGAUCUUUGGUUUCGCUGUUUACUUUGAGUCCAGUUGUGAGGAACUCGAAUGAAAAGGUAUUUUAUUGAUGUUAUUUUAUGUGAUCAACUCACGUGUUUGACCCACUGUGAGUUGAUAUAUUUUUAGGUUUCCAUUCCAAUUGGAAAAUUUUCGAUGGACUUGAUUCACUGGUAUGUGUGAAACCGUGUCAAUCGACUAAUAAAAAUGCAAUUAUGCAUUAUUGAUUGUCGUCAUUCUUAAUUUGUUUCGGUAUGGGCAGUACGGGUCGGUACCCCUGGUUUUUUUAGUUUGAUUUGUUCAUUAAAUUAAAAAAAAAUUCUGAGGUUAUCUUAGUGGCGUGUGACUAGCCACGGAUUAGAAUGUAGUGUCGUAGUAGUGGAAUAUUCUGUGCCAGAAAGUGGAAUAUUCUGUGCCAGAAUAGUGUGGUGAACAGUCCGCUAUGGCGGUGAGGUUGGAUGGGUUGAAUCCUGUUGCUGGUUCCAGUGCCCUGUGAGCUGCUCCCUGUCCGUGGGAUCUAUUGCGAUUGGAUUUCGAAAACUUGAAUUCGCGUAACACUGGUCAACAGUCGAUCUCGGAUUGUUAUUAUUGUUCCUCUAACACUUUCACUGUUUCUUCUUCUAAUCCUUUUUAUUUGUUCUUUUAGGUUUCGACCAUCUUCGAGGAGGAGCCCUUAGAAAUAUUGGACUUGCACGUUUCGUGGCAUUCACUUUCGUUGAUUUGGGUCUGUUUUUCCGAUACGUCAAAGUCACUUAAGCAC